UGGGGCGUCGCCAAGCGGUAAGGCAGCGGAUUUUGAUUCCGCCACGCGGAGGUUCGAAUCCUCCCGCCCCAGCCA
rnacentral:tRNA from 1 species